AUUGAACGCUGGCGGAAUGCUUUACACAUGCAAGUCGAACGGCAGCUCGGGGGCAACCCUGGUGGCGAGUGGCGAACGGGUGAGUAAUACAUCGGAACGUGCCCAGUCGUGGGGGAUAACGUAGCGAAAGUUACGCUAAUACCGCAUACGAUCUACGGAUGAAAGCGGGGGACCGUAAGGCCUCGCGCUAUUGGAGCGGCCGAUGUCAGAUUAGGUAGUUGGUGAGGUAAAGGCUGACCAAGCCGACGAUCUGUAGCUGGUCUGAGAGGACGACCGGCCACACUGGGACUGAGACACGGCCCAGACUCCUACGGGAGGCAGCAGUGGGGAAUUUUGGACAAUGGGCGCAAGCCUGAUCCAGCCAUUCCGCGUGCAGGACGAAGGCCUUCGGGUUGUAAACUGCUUUUGUACGGAACGAAAAGGCUCUGGUUAAUACCUGGGGCUCAUGACGGUACCGUAAGAAUAAGCACCGGCUAACUACGUGCCAGCCGCCGCGGUAA
rnacentral:rRNA from 1 species